rfam:Gossypium hirsutum cultivar TM-1 unplaced genomic scaffold scaffold769.1, whole genome shotgun sequence
UGUUAAAAGUUUUAUUCAUUUGUACUGUUAAAAAUUGGUAUGAUUGACAGAAUAAUCAUAUAGUGACAUGUGAAAUGCCGCAUGUACCUCAUUCUAAAGUACAAUGAGCAAUUUUUAACAAUAGAAAUGGAUGAAAUUUUUAACA